UCGAUCAGGAGGAAAGGGGCGACCAGGGCUUUCUCCAAGCCCUAACUUCUUGCUAGAAAUCUGCAAAUUGAAGCCCCAAUUCAGUUCCAAAUCAAAUUCUAAACACGAAUUAGUGAUCACCUCGUCACAAGAAUCAAAAGGCAAAGAGUCCGGAUCAUCAAGCGGACAAGCCGGGGGGAGUUCAAAGGGAAAAGGCGCGCUUUAAAGGCAAAGAGUCUGGAUCAUCAAGCGGACAAGCCGGGGGGAGUUCAAAGGGAAAAGGCGCGCUUUAAAGUUUUUCAGGUUUUCUAGUAGAUGGGUGAUGAUCAGGCAGGAGCAACUGAACCGAACACUCUAUCAAACGCUUCCGCACAUGAUCUUAUGUUUUAAAAACUAUGUAAACAUUUGUGGUCAACGACUCAAUUAUGGUUUUGUACAAACAAUACAUGUAUGUUGUGUCUAGUUAUGGUCUAGAAUAUUAAAAGAUUUUGUAAACUCUAAAUUUUUGGCAUCAAGUGUAAGGUUCCACGUUAUUAAUUCUAGUACUUUAAACUGA